rnacentral:tRNA from 1 species
UGCCCACAUCGCAUAGUGGUAUUGCACGGGACUGGAAAUCCCGGCCCGCAAGGGCUCGCCGGUCCGAUUCCGGCUGUGGGCGU